CCGGCAGAAGCGAGCGCCUGGGCCAGGGACACAAAGCUCCCUCGACUGGCACUGUGGGGCAGCCGAGCCAAGACUUGGCCCGACCCAUAGGAAAGGAUCCAGACCCUACAGGUGGGAAUGGAGCAAGGAGAUCUUGCAAGGAGUGUGCAGGGCCUCAGCCGAAACAAGUGGGCUUCAAACUCUGCUCAAACGCGGUGAGUUCCCAAGGUUGUAGCAGCAGCAGCUGGUGGAGAGCAGGACUCGAACCCACGGCUUCCAGUUCCGAGAAAAGAGAGGCUCAACAUCAGGAAGAACUUUCUGUUUGACUGUGGAAUGGAAGGCGGCAAACUCUCCUUCCUUGGAGGGUUGGGCAGCCAUCCGUCCGGGAUGCUUUAGCCGAGAUUCCUGCAUUGCAAGGGGGUUGGGAUGGAUGUCCUUCAGGGGUCCCCUUCCAAUGCUACGAUUUUGCGAUUCAUAAUCGGGAAGAUGGUGGCGACGGCAGACGAAGCAGCAAGCAAAGUGCGUGGCAGAAAGCUGGAAACAGAAUACAGGGUUGCUGCUCUUGCGCUCCCAGGGCCCUGAAGCGGCUUUUGCAUUCCAGCUUAGUCCUGCUUGCUUUCUCCCUCAUACUUUCAUCUCCAGAUAAAAGCCCAGUGGAAAUGGGUCCUGGCCGCCGCAAGCCCUUUUGGGCCCUGUGUAAAUCAUCAUUUGUCACAAACAGAUCUAAGCUUUUCGUUCUUCCUGGCGGUUGUCUGGCUGAGCCCGGCUCUGCAAAAGCUGCCUCCUUUCGUUCAAUAAGGAGAAGUCCUCCUGGUACUGCAAAAUUGCUUGCAGAAGCCGAGCCGAGAUCCAGCGGAGGGCCAUGCAAAGGGCACCUUUCGAGCAUGCGCAGAGUGCCCUCCUUCCUUGGGGCCAGGGAGCAAGCAGCCCAGAGGCGUCUGGGAUCCUGAGAAAAUCUGAGCUCACCUUUUCGAAACAGCCUCUUGCAAAUCGGCUUGUUGGGGAAGAGUUUGAGGCUCUGGGAAGCUCUUGCGUUGCAAGCCGAGAAUUUCUUGGCACUGGGGCGGCUGCCCCGAAGGAAAUGGCCCAUUUCCCAGAUGCUUAGACCCCGGAGAAGCCCCUCUUCAGGAGGGCUCUUUCUCUGCCACCAGGCCAGGCAGCUGGAGAGCGGCUCUGGUUCGGAGCCCAGUCGAAACAGGAUCCGUCUCCCAGGAAAUGGCGAGGCAGACGGUCCGAGGCCUUUUAUGGAGAACUUUCGAACAAACAUCAAGGGAAUUGAGAGAGGCGGCUCUUGGGCGGGUUAGGAGGCAGCAGUAGUGGAAAAGCAAAACAGGGAAGAAACAGAACAGGUGUCCGGCUGGUAACCGGGCAGAAAUAAAAUCAGAGGCGAGGUUGCAAACCCGUCUGGGCUG